rnacentral:lncRNA from 1 species
CACACACACACACACACACACACACACACACACACACACACACACACACCUACCUCCGUGCCCCACAUGGCACCCAUAUUUCCCUCUUUAAACACAGCGUGUGCACAGAGAGCACAAUAGGCCCAUGUGUGUGUAAUGUGUGUGUGUGUUUGUGUGUCUGUCUGUGUGUGCGUGCUAUGAUUCUCCUGAUCCCUUCUUACUGCAGAACCAUUAACCUAUAUAUAUUUUGUGUUUUCCCUGGUGUUUAGUAACAUGGUUAUAUACAGGAAGCACCAGUUAGUAACAUGGCUAUAUACAGGGAGUACCAGUUAGUAACAUGGCUAUAUACAGGGAGUACCAGGUAAUAACAUGGCUAUAUACAGGAAGUACCAGGUAAUAACAUGGCUAUAUACAGGGAGUACCAGGUAAUAACAUGGCUAUAUACAGGAAGUACCAGGUAAUAACAUAUCUAUAUACAGGAAGUACCAGGUAAUAACAUGGCUAUAUACAGGGAGUACCAGGUAAUAACAUGGUUAUAUACAGGGAGUACCAGGUAAUAACAUGGCUAUAUACAGGGAGUACCAGGUAAUAACAUGGCUAUAUACAGGAAGCACCAGUUAAUAACAUGGCUAUAUACAGGAAGCACCAGUUAAUAACAUGGCUAUAUACAGGGAGUACCAGUUAGUAACAUGGCUAUAUACAGGAAGAACCAGUUAGUAACAUGGCUAAUAACAGGGAGUACCAGUUAGUAACAUGGCUAAAUACAGUAAUGGUAGUAACGGUGACUAAGUUCAGAGCAGGGUACUGGGUGGAGGCUGGCUAGUAACAGUAACUAAGGUUCAGGGCAGGGUACUGGGUGGAGGCUGGCUAGUAACAGUGACUAAGUUCAGGGCAGGGUACUGGGUGGAGGCUGGCUAGUAACAGUGACUAAGGUUCAGGGCAGGGUACUGGGUGGAGGCCGGCUAGUAACAGUGACUAAGGUUCAGGGCAGGGUACUGGGUGGAGGCCGGCUAGUAACAGUGACUAAGGUUCAGGGCAGGGUACUGGGUGGAGGCCGGCUAGUAACAGUAACUAAGGUUCAGGGCAGGGUACUGGGUGGAGGCUGGCUAGUGGUGACUGUUUUGAACAGUCUGAUGUCCUGGAGAUACAGUGCCUUCAGAAAGUAUUCACACCCCUUGACAUUUCCCACAUUUUGUUGUUACAGCCUGAAUUCAAAAUGGAUUAAAUGUAGAUUGUGUGUAACUGGGCCUACACAACAAUACCCCAUAAUGUCAAAGUGGAAUUAUGUUUUUAGACAUUUUUACAAAUUAAUAAAAAAAAUGAAAAGCUGAAAUGUCUUGAGUCAAUAAGUAUUCAACCGCUUCGUUAUGGCCUUAAUAAGUUAAGGUGUAAAAAUGUGCUUAAAAAGUCACAUAAUAAGUUGCAUGGGCUCACUGUGUGCAAUAAGAGUUUAACAUGAUUUUUGAAUGACUACCUCAUCUUUGUACCCCACACAUACCGAUAAUUGUAAGGUCCCUCAGUCAAGCAGUGAA